AAUGAAACGAGGCGGCGAGCGAAUGCUUGAUGAGCGGCGGCGUAUUCACUGAGGCUGCCUGAACAGGGAGCUGGAGCCCAAACCACCGAAAGUGAUGGACGAUGGCCUCCACCCGUCAAACUGAGCAUCACUGGUGUUUUACUCACCACUCCUGCAGCUCAGGUGAGGGGAUGAGGCCUGCGGUGCCAUUCUUGGUGUUCUCCAGCUUUCCCUG